GACGAACGCUGGCGGCGUGCUUAACACAUGCAAGUCGAACGGAAAGGCCCUGCUUUUGUGGGGUGCUCGAGUGGCGAACGGGUGAGUAACACGUGAGUAACCUGCCCUUGACUUUGGGAUAACUUCAGGAAACUGGGGCUAAUACCGGAUAGGAGCUCCUGCUGCAGGGGGGGGGUUGGAAAGUUUCGGCGGUUGGGGAUGGACUCGCGGCUUAUCAGCUUGUGGGUGGGGUAGUGGCUUACCGAGGCUUUGACGGGUAGCCGGCCUGAGAGGGUGACCGGCCACAUUGGGACUGAGAUACGGCCCAGACUCCUACGGGAGGCAGCAGUGGGGAAUAUUGCACAAUGGGCGGAAGCCUGAUGCAGCAACGCCGCGUGCGGGAUGACGGCCUUCGGGUUGUAAACCGCUUUCGCCUGUGACGAAGCGUGAGUGACGGUAAUGGGUAAAGAAGCACCGGCUAACUACGUG
rnacentral:rRNA from 1 species